GAUUUUGCCGGCCCAUCGGAGGCUUCCUUGUAGCUACUCUUCCUGUAUCUCCCAGUGCCAGAGCGAGACUCCACCAAGACAAAACUUGCCCCAUGGAUGAUCCCCGAACCCCAGGACCGGAAAUUACAGGUGUCCUGUUCCAGGCGCAUGUUACCAAAGGUGCUGCCCACCUCAGCCGGCGAAGGGCUGGAAACGUGCACCAAUCUGGAAGCAGGACCAGGCAUCUCUCUGAGACUGACCGACCGACCGGGGAGCCUGCGUGGAAGAGCGGCCUGCGGAGACUGCACCAGCGUGCCCACAGGAAAGACAAGACAGACGCCCGUUCAGAGCCCGGCCGACCCAAAAUUCAGAACAAAAGUCUUCGUGGGCUUCAGGGUUUGGCGGUGGGGGUGGGGAGCAGAUCGGGGAGCAGGAUUCUUGGGCUGACUUCCCCCCUCCCCAUUCCUUGGGGCAUGUGUCAUGGCCUGUGACACAGCGCCAGGGGAACAUGGAUGCCGGAGAAAUGUCUACACACGCUACACAUUUGUGACAUGCCAUGUAAGCGACACCGUUUCCUGGCUGGGCUUUCUUGGCACAGGUGUGGGCAGACGCUGGAUUCUGCUCCCUCCUACUGUGCUUAGUAAACAGGAUCACGGGGGUUGGGGGAUGCGGUCUAAGCAAAGCGGGGUGGGGGCUCCCCUCUCCUAAGAGGAGGGGACCCCCACGGCCAGGCUCAGGCCAAGCAGGAGCCCAGUAUUUGAAACUGUCCUUGUUUCAAAACACAAAGCACCCUGUUCAGGAUCCUGGCCGCCACCCCCACUCCCUCCAAGCCCACCACAGCUGUCUCCCUCCAAGAGGAAGAAGGGCCACCAUUUGCAGAUUCGGUUUCAGCAAGAGAUCAGCCGAUUCUCUCCCUUCUCAUCCCGCCGAGCUGGCCCCAGCCACACAAGGGAAAACAAUAACCCUAACAAAAUAGGACCGCCAGGACAAAACAGGCGUAUACACUGGGGCUGCGCACACACCCCGGGGAGGACCGGGGCUGGCCCAGCCAGCUCCCAGCCAGAACUUGGCCACCCGGGCCUGAGAUGUUCCAGGACCACGGCCCCCUCCCCCCUGCCAACCUCCCAAUGUGGGAAGAUUUUCAAAAAGGGGAGCACCCAGUUUUUGCCUGCCAGACAGACAAGGGAAGAGGGGGAAAAAAAAAAAGGAAGAAUAAAGGUUCCUAAAGAAAAGAAA